UGAGUUUGAUCCUUGCUCAGGAUGAACGCUGGCGGCAUGCUUAACACAUGCAAGUCAAACGGUUAGUUAAUAAUUUUAAUUAACAGUGACGGACGGGUGAGUAAUAUGUAAGAAUCAACGCUUAGGAGAGGGACAACAUACGGAAACGUUUGCUAAUACCUCAUAAUGCUAAAAAUUUUAGUUAAAGGUUUUCGCCUAGGCACGAGCUUGCAUCUAAUUAGCUUGUAGGUAAGGUAAUGGCUUACCUAGGCUUUGAUUAGUAGCUAAUUUGAGAGGAUGAUUAGCCACACUGGGAUUGAGAUGACGGAACAGACUUCUACGGAAGGCAGCAGUGAGGAAUUUUCCGCAAUGAGUGAAAGCUUGACGGAGCAAUGCCGCGUGGAGGAAGAAUGCCUUAGGGUUGUAAACUCCUUUUCUCAUUGAAGAAAAUAUGACAUUAUUUGAGGAAUAAGCAUCGUCUAACUUCGUGCCAGCAGACGCGGUAAUACGAGGGAUGCAAGCGUUAUCCGGAAUUAUUGGGCGUAAAGAGUUUGUAGGUUGUCAAGUGUGUUUAAUGUUAAAUAUUAAAGCUUAACUUUGAAGUUGCAUUAAAAACUGCUAGACUUGAGUAUGAUAGAGGUAAGGGGAAUUUCCAGUGUAGCGGUGAAAUGCGUAGAUAUUGGAAAGAACACCAAAGGCGAAAGCACCUUGCUAGGUUAAUACUGACACUGAGAAACGAAAGCUAAGGUAUCAAAAAGGAUUAGAUACCCUUGUAGUCUUAGCCGUAAACUAUGGAUACUAAGUGGUGCUUUUUGUGCUGCUGUAGUUAACACGUUAAGUAUCCCGCCUGGGGAGUACGCUUGCAAAAGUGAAACUCAAAGGAAUUGACGGGGGCCCGCACAAGCGGUGGAGCAUGUGGUUUAAUUUGAUGCAACACAAAGAACCUUACCAGGGUUUGACAUGCUAGGAAAUUUUUUGAAAGGAAAAUGUGCCUUAGGGAGCCUAGACACAGGUGGUGCAUGGCUGUCGUCAGCUCGUGUCGUGAGAUGUUGGGUUAAGUCCCGCAACGAGCGCAACCCUUGUUUUUAGUUAUUUUUCUAGAAAGACUGCCAGUUAUAAAUUGGAGGAAGGUGAGGACGACGUCAAGUCAUCAUGCCCUUUAUAUCCUGGGCUACACACGUGCUACAAUGGGGGAGACAAAAAGUCGCAAGUUUGCAAAAACAAGCUAAUCUCUAAACUUCACCUCAGUUCGGAUAGAAAGCUGCAACUCGCUUUCUUGAAGCUGGAAUCGCUAGUAAUCGCCGGUCAGCUAUACGGCGGUGAAUACGUUCCCGGGCCUUGUACACACCGCCCGUCACACUAUGAGAGUUGGCCUUGCCUAAAGCUGUUAUUUUAACUUUUAAAGAGGAAAACAUCUAAGGCCGGGUUAAUAAUUAAAGUGAAGUCGUAACAAGGUAGCCGUACUGGAAGGUGCGGCUGGAACAACU
rnacentral:rRNA from 1 species